UUGACCAAACCAAUAGUUGGGCCUCACCUCGCAGUUCCUGGAAAGAAUUACUGGCCUCGCGAUUCCGGCCCCGUCGCCGCCGUCGCAUCGCCGCCGCCACCGGCGCCGCCUCGUCGCGCCCCCGACCUGCUCGCACCGCUACAAACCCAUGGCGAGGGAAGAGGAGAAAAGAUUGAUUCUUUUGGUCUCCAUAGGCUUUGGCGAAUCAGAUUGACAUGUACUUGGUGCAUGCCUCUGUUCUCGUAGCUCUAACUUGCCAUCGCAUAGUUGCAGCCUAUCCUACCAAUGACUAGUGACCUAACUCUUGACAGUUUCUGUCAAAAAAAGUCCUGUCAGCUAGGAUUUCAGCAACUGAGUACCAUGGGGCAUUGGAAGAUGAUGGAGACUGUUAGCUGUGGCUGGAGGAGUUGCCAGACUAUGAUAUGAGAUGAUGAAGUGACGGAGGGAAGGUGGGGCAUAAACUGUUCUCGAGAUAUCACCAUCGUCCAAACGUUAUUUGCAGAAUCCAGACGAUAAUCUGGAAAUAAAGAAAAGAACUGCACAAGUUAGUACUUGAACCUUUUUUAGGGUUUUAUUUUUAUUUGGAUGAACUGCAUUCUGUGGGCAGGCGAUGCAUAUGUACAAAGAGCCACCAAUUUCUAAUGGCUUAGCAGUAUAUAAUCAUCACUCUGGAAUUUGCUACUCAGAAUUUAAUGUAACACUAUUUUGUAACGUUGAUUAGAAAUACUUACUACUAUGUAUGCAGGGACAGUGCGGUUUUAUUUUC